rnacentral:rRNA from 1 species
UUACUAAAAAAUUAUUAGUUAAGUUCUUUAAAUUUAAGAAAUUUGGCGGUAUUUUAGUCUUAUUAGAGGAACCUGUUAAAUAAUUGAUAUUCCACGAUUUAUUUUACUUAUUUUUAGUUUAUAUAUCGCUGUCAUGAGUAUAUUUGAAAAUUUAUUUUCUUAAAUUAAUAUUUUAAUUUAUGUUAAGUCAAGAUGUAGCUUAUAAAUGAGGUAUAAUGGGUUACAUUAAAUUUAAUUUAUGGAAUUUUUAUGAAACGUUAUAAUGAAAAUGGAUUUAAUAGUAAAUUUAAUUAUUUUAUUAAUAUGAAUAUAGAUCUAAAAUAUGUACAUAUUGCCCGUCAUUCUUAAUAAAAAUAAGACAAGUCGUAACAAAGUAAAUGUACUGGAAAGUGUAUUUAGAAAGAUUUAUUUAAAA